GAUUGAACGCUGGCGGCAUGCUUUACCCAUGCAAGUCGAACGGCAGCGCGGGCUUCGGCCUGGCGGCGAGUGGCGAACGGGUGAGUAAUACAUCGGAACGUGCCCAGUAGUGGGGGAUAGCUCGGCGAAAGCCGGAUUAAUACCGCAUACGACCUGAGGGUGAAAGCGGGGGAUCUUCGGACCUCGCGCUAUUGGAGCGGCCGAUGGCAGAUUAGCUAGUUGGUGGGGUAAAGGCCUACCAAGGCGACGAUCUGUAGCUGGUCUGAGAGGACGACCAGCCACACUGGGACUGAGACACGGCCCAGACUCCUACGGGAGGCAGCAGUGGGGAAUUUUGGACAAUGGGCGAAAGCCUGAUCCAGCAAUGCCGCGUGUGUGAUGAAGGCCUUCGGGUUGUAAAGCACUUUUGGCGGGAACGAAAAGGACUGUGCCAAUACCACGGUUCGAUGACGGUACCCGCAGAAUAAGCACCGGCUAACUACGUG
rnacentral:rRNA from 1 species